rnacentral:rRNA from 1 species
CCUACGGGGGGCAGCAGUGGGGAAUAUUGCACAAUGGAGGAAACUCUGAUGCAGCAACGCCGCGUGGAGGAUGACGCAUUUCGGUGUGUAAACUCCUUUUAUAAGGGAAGAUAAUGACGGUACCUUAUGAAUAAGCACCGGCUAACUCCGUGCCAGCAGCCGCGGUAAUACGGAGGGUGCAAGCGUUACUCGGAAUCACUGGGCGUAAAGGAUGCGUAGGCUGGAAAUCAAGUCGAGAGUGAAAUCCAACGGCUCAACCGUUGAACUGCUCUCGA